UUUUUUUCUUCUUUUUCUUCUCUGUCGAUCUCAAUUCGAAGAAUUGAGUUUGUUUUCGAUUGAUAAAUUCUUAGGACCGUUUUAGUAAGAUGAAUCAGAUGUAAAGAAGUUGGAUUUUGUGGUUGAAUUAGAUCGGGAGAAGGAGUGAUGCUGUUAAAUAGAAUUAGGGUUCUGUUCUUGAGUUGGAAGAGGGAUUAAGAGGAGUUUGGAGUUACUGCUGGAUGAAGUUCGAAUGGGUUGGUAUGUAAUUAAUGUUCUGAAGUUGUUCUUAUGAAGAAUCACAGAACCAGUUGUAGCAGUUGAGAUGGAAGGGAUUAAGGCUUGAAGAUGCAGGGUUUUUUUAAUAUUAGAGUUUAGAUGUUUCAGUUAGGGGAUGUAUGAACUUGUAUAGGUGAAAAGAAAGGGAAAUUAGAGGUUAUGUUGUUGAACUGGUGGAGGUGCAGAUGUAUUGUUAGAUGUUACUGCAAGAGUGGAAGAUGUGUUGAAGAUCUGGAUGAGUUAGAGGAUUAAUUAUAGGUAGUUACAGGUUAUAGAGGUGGUGUUGUAAUUGCAAAUGGUUUAGAGUUAGCCUGGAAUUGUUAGUUGUGAUGCUGUGUUGUUAGUUGUGCUGGGUUGAACUGCUGGUGGAUAUGGAAAAGAUAUUACAGGUGAUUGUGUUGUCAUUGUUGAGCUGAGUUGUGCUGGUAGCAAUAUUGCAGGUGUUAUGUUGAAGCUGGGAUUGUGGAAGUAGACUGUUAGGUUGUUCUUGACUUAAGCUGAAGUUGCAGAUUGAUGCAGUUAAGAAUGUAGUUGAUUAUAAGAUGAAUGUUUAGGUUCUUGCAAGGGGAUUGAAUCUUGCUAGUGGACUGAGGCUGUGAUAUUGCAGAUGUAAAUGCAGUUGCAGAGUUAGGUUGUGUAGCUUCAGAUGAUGUUAGGGAACACUGACUGUAUGUUUGAGAUGGUGGAAUUUAGAUGGUAAUGCUAAUAAGAUAAAUGGAUUGAUGGGGGUUCUGAGAAUUGUUGUGACAGAGUUUGCAAACAAGAAUUAGUAUGGGUUACAAAGUGAACUGUGGAUUGGCUUAAGCUAAUGAAACUGUAUGAGAAUCAAGAUUAGAAAUAUGGAUUGUAUUUUGGUUAAGCUGUAGGUUUGCAAUUAGAAUUAGAAAUGCAUCAUGUUAGUCUUGGCAUGAGUUGUGUUGCUUCUUGUUUGUGCUUUAAAAGUUUGGCCAGUGCAAGGGCCUUGAUUUGUUUAAUUUGAAUCAGUCUUGUUGA